GUUUUGAAAGAAAAAUCUCCAGAGUUACCAUAAGGAGAAUGCAGAAAACAAUGAUUUCAAAAUGACCCCGCCCCCCAACCUCUGCAACUCCGCCGAAAUAUCAGCAAUUUGGUUCUGGUAAAGCAUGAACUGGGAUUUUCCAUUCUGACGAGUAAAUGGAGUCUCUGCUUCAGGAGACGCACAGGGAGCAGCUGUCCGAGCCCCGGAGCGAGCUCGGCUCGGGCGAUCUAUCCGGGUGCGGGGCGGCGGCCGCGCCAACUAGAUUCCUCGCCUUCUCCCUUCGAACCGGCCACCAAACGCCGCCGCUCCUUUUCUCAGUCUCCUGGGCUCCAGGAGGAGCGCAGCAUCCGGGCCCUUCCCCCUCCAGCGUCGAAGGUUGCGGGCGGAACUGAGCGCACGCGAGGCUCGAAGGCGACUGCAGUCGGCCCUUCCCGGAGUCCCGCUUCGGGGCCGUCCCUGGGCGCUGCGCGUUGGUCCGCCCGAGUCUUGGGGUGGCUUGGGAGAAUGGGUUUGGGGCUCAGGCCUCGAGGUUGCCAAGAGCCUCGCGCUUCCUCAUUUUCCCGCCAGGUCAACGUAACCCGGCAUUUCUCCGAGGAGAGGCCUAAAAAUGAGUGGGGCUGCCGCCCGACUCCUGUGAGAGCCUCGGGGCUUCCAUUCCCGACACCAGGAGGAAAGACCGGCAUUUCUUCCUCGGGCGAAGAACCCAGAAAAUUUUUGAUAUGGUUUCCUGGAUGAAACAGUGACAAAAUCAAGAGAGCUAACCUUGCUUACCCUGCCCAACCCACUUGUGUGAUAUGUUAGCUCCCUGGUCCCUGCUUGAUUCAGACACUACAGAAGAUGUGGGCAUUCUGGCUUCAUUGAUGUGA
rnacentral:lncRNA from 1 species